rnacentral:tRNA from 1 species
GCCGGGGUGGUGGAAUUGGUAGACACGCGAGACUUAAAAUUUCGUGGCCGCAAGGCCGUGCGGGUUCGAUUCCCGCCCCCGGCA